AUUUGAAACCAAAUUAAAAGUGUUAAACAAAAUAAAUAAAUACUUAGAUAGUAAUCUAAUUAAAAAAAUGUACACCACCUACGACCGUGAGUUUGCCUGGCCUCAAAGGCAAUACAAUUAUUACCUUAAAAGUCUCUACGUCCCCAUAAAUCCCACAAAAGCGUUUGAAAUUUUAGCACAACGAGAGCAAAGGCUAGAGAAGGAACCAUCCGAAAAUUUUGAGAACGACAAAGUUUCUGAGUUACCAAUGCAAUUAGAAUGGACCUCAGCAUUACCAUUCGGUCAUUUAUUAGAUCGCAAACUUAUACCAAUUACUAUAACCGACGAAAAGCAACGGCGUAUUGACGAACUGAUCGAGAGCGAUGAUUUCAAUUUCUUGCCAUGUCCGCAUAAGAAAGCAGAUAAAAGGAUGGAGGCUGCGGUGCGUUCUAUAUCAGCACAGACCGGUAUUGAAUAUGACGAACUGAUGAAAGAUGUUUAUGAACAGAGAGAUCAAUGGCAUCAAACAGCUACUGGACAAGCAGAAAUUUAUAUGAGAGAUGCUUUCGAGAAGAAGCGAAACGAUAAAUUACUAGCAAAAGAGACGGUAUUUUCAAGUAGUGGCAGAAUAAAAUUGUGAAAAUGUUGUUGAUUAAGAUAUGGAAGUAUUUUUUUUUAUCCGAAAAGUACUUAGCUUUCCAAAUAAAAGCUAAAAAUUGUGAUUUUUUUUCACAGUCUCCUUUCAACUCAAUACUCUAGAGCCAAUCUGCACCAACUCUUCUGCAAAUACUUGUUUUUGGAGAGUUUCAAAGUGGCUUCUAAUGACGGUGAUAAAAUCGUCAUUAUACUCAAACUUUUGUGCGGCGAGUGACUUUUAAGUUUGCAAUCAGAAAAUAGUCGCAGGAGUCCACUUCUGAAGAAUAUGGUGGAGGUGUGAUCCGGUGCCAAAGUGGAAGACUUUUUUUUGUUCCCACGACUGUCGAGUCUACGUAACUGGAAAGGAACCUUAACCGAAUCAAAAAAUCCGAAUAUCCAGGACGUCAAAAUAAUAUUAAGAAUAGAUGAAAUCUUUAAUGAAGAACGUUACGGAUAACAACCCAUCAUUAAAAAGAAGGAUCAAAAAACGCCCUGAACUUGCGACUAUAAACGAGACAAAAUUUAUUAUUUGGAAAACAGCACCUGGACAAAUUGGGCUUCACCAAAGUUGCGCAGAUCUCUUAGAACGGAGUUUACAAAUGUUUUCGAUUCCGAUAGACAAUACUUUGGCUAUGCUUUUCGUAAUUAAAAUCGUAUAUUCUUUGCACUCGCGACUUAGCUCCCACGUCACUGUUGACA